rnacentral:rRNA from 1 species
GAUGAACGCUGGCGGCGUGCCUAAUACAUGCAAGUCGAGCGAACGGACGAGAAGCUUGCUUCUCUGAUGUUAGCGGCGGACGGGUGAGUAACACGUGGAUAACCUACCUAUAAGACUGGGAUAACUUCGGGAAACCGGAGCUAAUACCGGAUAAUAUUUUGAACCGCAUGGUUCAAAAGUGAAAGACGGUCCUGCUGUCACUUAUAGAUGGAUCCGCGCUGCAUUAGCUAGUUGGUAAGGUAACGGCUUACCAAGGCAACGAUGCAUAGCCGACCUGAGAGGUGGUUCGGCACACUGGAACUGAGACACGGUCCAGACUCCUACGGGAGGCAGCAGUAGGGAAUCUUCCGCAAUGGGCGAAAGCCUGACGGAGCAACGCCGCGUGAGUGAUGAAGGUCUUCGGAUCGUAAAACUCUGUUAUUAGGGAAGAACAUAUAUGUAAGUAACUGUGCACAUCUUGACGGUACCUAAUCAGAAAGCCACGGCUAACUACGUG